rnacentral:lncRNA from 1 species
ACAUGUCAGUUCAGUAGCCCCUCCCUUAUCUAAGAUUUUACUUUACUUGGUUUCACUUAACCACGGUCAACCAUGGUCUCAAAAUAUUAAAUGGGAAAUUCCUGCAGCAAAUAUUUCCUAAACCUUAAAUUGUGGUCCGUUCUGAGCAGCAUGAUAAAAUCUCUCAGUGUCUCUCUCCAUUCUGCCAGGGAGACAUUAUUAUAAAUGAAUGUACAAUUAAUAAAUAUAUUAGUGCUAAGUGUCAGGAAGAAGAUUUUCUAAAAGACUAGUUGACCUGUUCUGGUCUCUUUAAGAAAAUGAUCGAAUGGACAGUAGAGGGAUAAAUAGGCAUCAGUAGGUCAAAAGGACAGGGACAAUGUGUGGGUGAGGGAGCUUUCUGGAAGGAGAGAAUCAUAAUAAUGAAAGUGAAGAAAGCUCAGUUGCCUGGGGGAUCUGAAAAUGUUCAGUCUAUGAGAGAAGUGGGGGAAGAUGUUCACCAGCCUGUGUUGUACUUUAUCUACUGAUCCUGAAGGGCCUUGUAGUUCGUGACGGUGAUCUUGGAUUUUAUUCCAGGGGCCUUGAAAGUCUUUUUUUAUAAAACAAAAGAGAGACAUAUUCAGUUUGGUGUUUCACUAGCUUAUUCUGAUGGCUGUGGGGAGAAAGAAUUAAGGAGAAGUUGAAGUGGCCAUGGCAUUUACUGCAGUUCAGGUAAAGGAUUGCCAUGGCUGGGAAUGAGAAUGGAAAGACAGGGAUGAAGUACAGAGGUACUUCAAAAACAAAGGCCAAAGGGAUUCAUGGUUGAUUAGAUAAAUGCAGAAAGCAAAGUUGUAGAUAGAUCUAAGAUGAAUGCAAGAUGUUUGGCUUAUAUAACUGUAGGGUUUAGAAUAACCAUUCACUGUGGAAGAAUUUUGGAGGCAGACCUGGUUUAUGAGAGAAUAUUUUGAUUCUGUACAGUUGAUAUAUAUGCAAAGGCAUUGCUAUUAUAGGCACUGGCCUUGGGUAAGUGCCAGUUCCAUUCAGCUCAGAAGCAAGAUCUAGAGACUGUGUCUAUUUUUUUUCUAAGAUCAAAUUUUCAGAAUCUUAAGGAAAAUCAACUAAUUAUGAAGGUCCAUUUUAUAAGAUCAAGGUACCCAUUCUUGGCCUAUUUUUAUACAGAAAAUGCUUAAAGGCAAUAUUCCAAUUGAUUAGGCCAUUUGGCUUUUAGGAAUAAACCAUUUAGUACUAAGCAUUUUUUGUAGCCAAUCACCUGUAAAUUUAUCCGAGGCACACAGUAAGGAUGAUGAUGAUAUUUAGUAGUCAUUGAGUCCUUACUAUGUGCCACAUGCUGUUCUAUGUGCUUUAUGUAUAUUAGUUCAUUUGUCUUCCACCACCUUAGGGACUGUUACUGCCACUAUUUUACAGGUGAAGAAAAUGAGGCAUAAAAUUCUUCCAUACUUGCCUCUUAACUAGUACAUGAAAGAACUAAGAUUUGAAUACAGACAGUACAGUCAUGCAGUAUAAGCUCUUAGACACCUCACUAUAUAAUUGGCCUGUUGUGAAUUCUAGGUCUCAGAGGCCAUAAGAAUUUGACUGGAAAAAGGCAAAGUUUGGAGGGGAAUGGAGUUGUGAUUUGGGGACAAACUGCUUUUAAAAAAGCCAGAACUUUCUUAUAAAGUAUAAUCCUAGGUCCCUUAGUCAAGCUGAUGUUUCCCAGAGUGAGUGACCCUGGGUGAGAGGUUGGUGAUCCUUAUUCCCUGGGAGUCAGAAAGAGUCCAGUCCCUCAGGGAUCUCUACACUAGGGAUUAUGUGAAAACUAUAUCAUAUUCAUUACUGUAUUUGCAAUGUCCAAUAGAGGGCUUGAUGAAUGACACAUAUUAAGUGUCUAGGGGAUACACCAAUGAAUCAAUUAUUUGUUCUAAUAAUUAGAAGUAGUUCCCAGGUAUCUUUUUUUCUUUCCUGGUAAAGUGUUGAGGAAGAAGAUAAACUGUGUUAGGCUGAAGACUGAGUCUUUAAUUCUCACGAGAUAGAAAGUUAAGAAAAAGGAAAAAACAAACAAUAGCAAAACAUCAGGUUAUGAUGAGCUUGCGGUGGAUUCCAAAUAGAGUUACUAAUUUCUUAAUGACAUGUAAAGAUCAAAUUCGCUUUUGGAAAAUUACAACAUUUUGUAAUUAUUUAUACAUACUUCACCCCUAAAUUCUUCACUUAAGCCUUCUGUCAUCUGCAGAGGAAGCUGAGGUUAUCAGCGAUUUAUAAAGGAGGUAAACAGAACAAGCAGAGAAGCGAUUUGCUCACUUGGUGAACUGAAUGAAGUGGAGUGGAAUUCCUUAAUCUCAUGACCUUUUAUCAGUGUUUUAAAUUCCUAGUUGACCAUGCUGAAUCUUGAGUAAAAGACACUUCCCACUGUCAUGCACUAUAAGAAAGCUAUUAUAGUGCUCAGUUUGGUGUAACUUGUCACUUUCAUUUUUAAGUGCUUCAGGCCUGUUCAUUUCUCGCUUUACUAGCUCUACUCAGUAUGCCAUAGAUUCCGGGGACUGUUGGACAGUGCCUUCUGAGUGAACAGACACUUUGAAUUUUGUGAGUUGGCCAGCCUUCAUAUUAGGGACUACGUAUUUUGAAGUACAGUCUUACAGUAUCAGUUUGGUAUUUUAAAUAUAAGAAUUCCAUAGUAUUUAUCUAGUGUGAGAUUAUUACUUAACUGGAAUUUGUAAUAAGACCAAAAGUAAAAAUAUUUCUUCAAAUAUACCUUAUCUUGUUCCAAAUCUUGUAAUUGCUAAAGAAUUUUACCAAAGUUACCAGGUUUAGUUUCAUGUAUUACUCUGUGAGUCUUUUAAAUGCUUUACUUUUCAAUGAAGGCACAUAAUGCAGCUAGAGUACUUAUUUGAUCUUACUUGGGAAAUAGCUUUGUCUUUCUGCUGAUGCAGAUUUAUUGCUGUAACUUACUUUAAAUUUAAUCAAUUUUAAAUUCAGUUACUUAUAGAUUUCCUAUUGAAAGCUUUCUACAGGACUGGUGCACUGCUUUGUUUGAGGCCCUAAAAGAAAUAUUACACCUAUAGGCAGACAGAAAUAGAGGAAGAGAGAAGAGAAAAUCAAAAGACAAACAGGAAGUAAAGUAUAUUUUCCUAAAUGUAAUUUACCUAAAUACACAUUAAAUGAUAGAUUUCAUUGUAUAUCAUGUUACAAAGUAUAAAUUUGUUUAAGUUUAAAGAAAUUUUCUUAAGUUCAAACCUGCAUGUGUUGGAUGUUGACUUAUAAAUUGAGGCAAUUAGGAUAUGAUUAAUUUAUCAUACACUCAAGUUGUUUUUAUGUUUUUUAAAAAUGACAUAGCAGUUACAUCUGCAGAGGGAACAAUAUAUGCAUUUUUACAGAAAAAUGGAAGAUGAAUUCUUUAAUCGACAUUAGGAUUUUCUGAUCAUUAGCAUGGAGGUGAUAUGAGGGAUAAAUUGGAGAAAAAGGUGAGUUAAGGUGAUAGAGACUGAUUCAAAAUAUCGAUACCGUAAUAUACCAUUUGUAGUGAAAUUGAUUUCUUGGUCUAGUAUAUUUUGCUUAUACACCUCAUAUUGAUGUGUGAAGAAGCAUCCUGCAUUCUGUGACUAUAAUUUCUUACUCAAAAACUUUAAUAAAUAGAAAAAUAUAUCUUGUGACCCAUUUCUAGUUUUCCCAAUUACUUUAAAAUACCUGGUUUAGGAGACAACCAGAAUAUUGUUUCUUUGCUCAGGAAGCAAUCCUUUUGAAACUAUGGGGAAAAAAAUGAAAGGAAAAACUAAACCAUUACCUGAGAUCUGUGAAUUUUCAUAGUGUUAAGCAAACUUUAAGAAAGAAAACUAAGAGGUUUGGGAAAUAAAGACCAAUUUAACAAGAGAAUUUUUACCUGGCAGUACUGUUUAUUUCGCCGAUAUAAUGGCCCAGUUAGAGUUUUAUUUUAAUAGCCUAUUUAUUUUAGCAGUACUUAUACCCUGAAUGGAUUUGAAAAAUGAGUACAUAGAUUUUUUUAGAAAUUCUAAAAGUACGUAAAGAUUUAAUGAUGUGUUAAAAAGUCAAAGAGUCUUUAUAAUUCACAAAAGUCUGUUCACAGUUGAAAAGGGAGGAAGGCCUCACUACCUCUACAUUUGUUAAAUUAUAAGAAAACCUGUACAUUAAUCUUUGGAGCAAUUUUGGAGGAACAAGGAAACUGCAAUUUAUAGUGGUACACUUAUAUACCAAGAGAUGCUAUGUGGGACUUUACUAAAAGGUGUAUGGUUUUGUUUUAAAUCGAACAGUAAUUUUCUGGUUGUUUUCCCUUUUAACACUCAGCUCUACUAAGGAGUCAGAUUGUGUUCUGUCUAUGAUGAGGUGGUAGGGGAAUGGGAUAAUUUUAUUCAGAGAUGGAUAUUUGCUCCUGACAAAAUGAUCUUUUUUAGCAUGUAUCAAUGUACUCUGAAAAUUGAGUAUUAGAUUGCAUGAGCACUGCUUCCAAUAUAUUUUUUUAAAUAAGAGUAUGCGAGAAUUGCAAACAAACAAAAAACUUAGAACUUUGGUAUAAAGUGGCCUGAAGAAUGAAAGCUAGAGAAUUUCAAACAGGUUUUUGAAAAUGAGGUUAGGAUCAGGGGUAUCAUUAUAGUUUAGGGUUGGCUGGAAGCACAUACUAAAAUGGACUUUCUCAAGCAAGUGGUUGGAUAGGAAGUACUCUCGGGACUAACAUCUGUGAGGGAAUGAGAGGAACAGGGCUGGGCAGGGAGAGGGGUUGAACUGUUGAGAUAGUUGCAGCAGAAGCUUCAUCUGGCACAAGUGAAACUCUGGGUCUGGGAUAAACACUUCAGAGAUGUCCCUGAUUGAGGUAAGGUGGUGCAUGCUGCUCCUUAAAAGAAGGUGUAAACUUGGGUCAGGCAGAGACCUUCUUCAGAGGGCAAUUUGGCCAAGACCUCAGCCCUUGAUCUUUUAAAUACUGAACUAAUUCUUGAGAUACAAUCGAGGUAUUUAAUAUCUUGGCUGGGAGUUUCAGAGGCUCCCAUUUGGCUUUCCCCACUGUGAUAGCUCUUGCCUCACAAACUAUGGAACCCAUGUGGGAAUUCUGACAACUGUACUGUAUAUCCACUCCAAUAGUACAUUUAGGGACCAAGGAAGUCACCACUGAAGCCAGCCAGGCCAGGAUAUUACUUCCUGGCUUCCACAUUCCCUCAUUAUAACAGCGCUGGAGACAGGGAGGAGACAUGCUGAUAUUUUAGUUUCCUUGGUGUAGGUGUCAACUCAAGCACUGUGUUAAGAAUCAUAAAAAACAAAACAGAACAAUAACAGACAACUACCUCUUCCUUUUCUCUGUGCUUGCUUUAGUAAAUGGUCACAGGUUCCUUUGGUAAGGAGUUGGAGGAAACUUUACAAUAUACCCAUUUCUCUAG